CCCAGCUGCAUCGGUUCAGCGGGGAGACUUUGCACUGCAACAACUGCCUCGCUGCAUACUGGGCGGCGGCUCUGUAGCAGGUGGUCUAGGCGAAAAGCCAGGCUAAUGAGCGAAUUGAGUGUUAGUUGAGCAUCACGACAUGCCAGUUCUGUCACUAUAUCCGGGUUCAAUCCCUGGUGAAACAUAGUCUUGAAGGUGGGUUGGUUCCAUCCGCUCCUGGCCGCGACAGUGCAAAACUCUAAACCAUAAUCCGCAACGCAGCGUGUCCCUUGCUUUAGGGUGAGUAGUUCCUCCCCGUUCUCUUUGUUGUCUGAAGAGUGAUCAAAGAAGAUCCGAAAUCGUUCCGUCAGUUGAUCCAUGGUAGUGAUGGUACUGUCUCCCUGUUCCUAUUCCACCGUGGCCCAGAGCAAAGCUCUCCCGGUCAGUAGCUCCAUGAAAUAAAUAAUUUUCCGACUCUCUGGCAUGCCUGGGUAGCUGGAGGAAAACAGGGAGCAUUGGAGGAGGAAACCCUGGCAGCAUGACGGAUCUCCGUCAUAUUUCUCUGGCGCCGGUAUGGGAGGAAAAUGCACAGUUGUCUGUGUAGCGGCCGACGCGGCUUGAGCUAGCCAAGCAACUUGCUCAGUCAGGUUGGCUAGCUGUUGUCUCUGGUCGCUAAUCAGCCGACCGUGGAUCACUAUAGAAAGGCAUAGCUGCUUCCAUAGGAAGGUGAAGUACACUGUUGUUGAAUACUGAAGCAGAUGCGGGUGGCAGACUCAGGCAGUAUAAUCCAGAGGAAUAGACAAAGCAAACAAAACAAAACAGGGCAAGGCAGAAAUUGAGGUCGGGAAUGUAAACAAUGGCCAAAGUCACUUUGCAAAAAAUGACAGAUAACCACAGAGAACAAGUCAGCUGAAAGUUUACUUCGCAAAGUCAGUAUGCAUUAAAUAAAAUAAAACAACGCAAAAGAAACAAUUAUUAAAACAACAAUCAGAACAUAUAAAAUUAUUAACCAGCAAUCAGCACAUUACAAAUGGUUUAAAACAGCAGCCAGGCUACUGCAGACACGCCGUUCAUAAAAACACUUCUUUCUCAACUACAACAUACACAUAUAUUCUGCAUGCAGUUUUCAUUUUCUGAGAUCUAAAAACCCUCUUUUCUUAAUUUAGUUCAUAAUUUGGAGCUCUUUUGAGGAAAAGAACACCGUCUCAAGGCCUGUUCACACCGGGACAAUUUUCGGUCCACUUAACACCCCAGUGGCUGUCAGUGGGCGAGUUCACACACAGGCGUAAAACAU
ensembl:lncRNA